UACGGGGGGGGCAAGCGUUGUUCGGAAUUACUGGGCGUAAAGGGCUCGUAGGCGGCCAACUAAGUCGAACGUGAAAUCCCUCAGCUUAACUGGGGAACUGCGUCCGAUACUGAUUGGCUUGAAUCCGGAAGAGGGAUGCGGAAUUCCAGGUGUAGCGGUGAAAUGCGUAGAUAUCUGGAGGAACACCGGUGGCGAAGGCGGCAUCCUGGAUCGGUAUUGACGCUGAGGAGCGAAAGCCAGGGGAGCAAACGGG
rnacentral:rRNA from 1 species